rnacentral:misc_RNA from 1 species
GAAAUGCGAUACGUAAUGUGAAUUGUAGAAUUCAGUGAAUCAUCGAGUCUUUGAACGCACAUUGCGCCCCCUGGUAUUCCGGGGGGCAUGCCUGUCCGAGCGUCAUUGCUGCCCUCAAGCACGGCUUGUGUGUUGGGCCCCCGUCCCCCCCCCAAGGGGACGGGCCCGAAAGGCAGCGGCGGCACCGUGUCCGGUCCUCGAGCGUAUGGGAAGCAACUUUUUGUCACCCGCUCCUGUAGGUCCGGCCGGCGGCCUGCCCAACCCCAACCUUUUUUUCAACCAGGUUGACCUCGGAUCAGGUAGGGAUACCCGCUGAACUUAAGC